rnacentral:rRNA from 1 species
GACGAACGCUGGCGGCGUGCUUAACACAUGCAAGUCGAGCGGUAAGGCCCUUUCGGGGGUACGACGAGCGGCGAACGGGUGAGUAACACGUGGGUGACCUGCCCUCAGCUCUGGGAUAAGCCUGGGAAACCGGGUCUAAUACUGGAUAUGACUCCAUGACGCAUGUUGUGGGGUGGAAAGCCUUGUGCGGCUGAGGAUGGGCCCGCGGCCUAUCAGCUUGUUGGUGGGGUGAGGCCUACCAAGGCGACGACGGGUAGCCGGUCUGAGAGGGCGACCGGCCACACUGGGACUGAGACACGGCCCAGACUCCUACGGGAGGCAGCAGUGGGGAAUCUUGCGCAAUGGGCGAAAGCCUGACGCAGCGACGCCGCGUGAGGGAUGACGGCCUGG